AAUACCUCUCAAGCGAAUUUGCUUGGUCGUGGAAGAUGAGUAUGCGUGCAUUCUCCCUUCUGAAAUUCAAAGGCGGAUGAUGGCAUAUCCCCAGGUGUAGUAAGUUUAUCUUUUCGCUUGGUGUGUGUGAUUGUCCUGCCGUUGACCCCCAUUUUUUCAAGGUUGACCUCGGAUCAGGUAGGGAUACCCGCUGAACUUAA
rnacentral:misc_RNA from 1 species